rfam:Mesocricetus auratus contig048621, whole genome shotgun sequence.
GCUGUAUUCAGCAGCACAUAUACUAAAAUUGGAACGAUAAGAGAAGAUUAGCAUGGCCCCUUCGUAAAGAUGUACAAAUAUGCGAAGGGUUCCAUAUUUUU